AGUGAACGCUGGCGGCGUGCUUAUCACAUGCAAGUCGAACGAGAACGGAUUAUAGCUUGCUAUAAUUGUCAGCUGAGUGGCGCACGGGUGAGUAAUGUAUAGGUAAUAUGCCUCUUACUAAGGGAUAACAAUUGGAAACGAUUGCUAAUACCUUAUAUUCCUUUUUAUCAAAAGAUAAAAAGGGAAAGAUUUAUUGGUAAGAGAUUAGCCUGUAUUGUAUCAGUUAGUUGGUGGGGUAUGGCCUACCAAGACAAUGACGCAUAACUGGUUUGAGAGGAUGAUCAGUCACACUGGAACUGAGACACGGUCCAGACUCCUACGGGAGGCAGCAGUGGGGAAUAUUGCACAAUGGACGAAAGUCUGAUGCAGCAACGCCGCGUGGAGGAUGACACAUUUCGGUGCGUAAACUCCUUUUAUAUAAGAAGAUGAUGACGGUAUUAUAUGAAUAAGCACCGGCUAACUCCGUGCCAGCAGCCGCCGUAA
rnacentral:rRNA from 1 species